UCCUGACUGACCGAUAGUGAACCAGUACCGUGAGGGAAAGGCGAAAAGAACCCCGGCGAGGGGAGUGAAAAAGAACCUGAAACCGUGUACGUACAAGCAGUGGGAGCACGCUUAGGCGUGUGACUGCGUACCUUUUGUAUAAUGGGUCAGCGACUUAUAUUCUGUAGCAAGGUUAACCGAAUAGGGGAGCCGAAGGGAAACCGAGUCUUAACUGGGCGUUAAGUUGCAGGGUAUAGACCCGAAACCCGGUGAUCUAGCCAUGGGCAGGUUGAAGGUUGGGUAACACUAACUGGAGGACCGAACCGACUAAUGUUGAAAAAUUAGCGGAUGACUUGUGGCUGGGGGUGAAAGGCCAAUCAAACCGGGAGAUAGCUGGUUCUCCCCGAAAGCUAUUUAGGUAGCGCCUCGUGAAUUCAUCUCCGGGGGUAGAGCACUGUUUCGGCAAGGGGGUCAUCCCGACUUACCAACCCGAUGCAAACUGCGAAUACCGGAGAAUGUUAUCACGGGAGACACACGGCGGGUGCUAACGUCCGUCGUGAAGAGGGAAACAACCCAGACCGCCAGCUAAGGUCCCAAAGUCAUGGUUAAGUGGGAAACGAUGUGGGAAGGCCCAGACAGCCAGGAUGUUGGCUUAGAAGCAGCCAUCAUUUAAAGAAAGCGUAAUAGCUCACUGGUCGAGUCGGCCUGCGCGGAAGAUGUAACGGGGCUAAACCAUGCACCGAAGCUGCGGCAGCGACGCUUAUGCGUUGUUGGGUAGGGGAGCGUUCUGUAAGCCUGCGAAGGUGUGCUGUGAGGCAUGCUGGAGGUAUCAGAAGUGCGAAUGCUGACAUAAGUAACGAUAAAGCGGGUGAAAAGCCCGCUCGCCGGAAGACCAAGGGUUCCUGUCCAACGUUAAUCGGGGCAGGGUGAGUCGACCCCUAAGGCGAGGCCGAAAGGCGUAGUCGAUGGGAAACAGGUUAAUAUUCCUGUACUUGGUGUUACUGCGAAGGGGGGACGGAGAAGGCUAUGUUGGCCGGGCGACGGUUGUCCCGGUUUAAGCGUGUAGGCUGGUUUUCCAGGCAAAUCCGGAAAAUCAAGGCUGAGGCGUGAUGACGAGGCACUACGGUGCUGAAGCAACAAAUGCCCUGCUUCCAGGAAAAGCCUCUAAGCAUCAGGUAACAUCAAAUCGUACCCCAAACCGACACAGGUGGUCAGGUAGAGAAUACCAAGGCGCUUGAGAGAACUCGGGUGAAGGAACUAGGCAAAAUGGUGCCGUAACUUCGGGAGAAGGCACGCUGAUAUGUAGGUGAAGUCCCUUGCGGAUGGAGCUGAAAUCAGUCGAAGAUACCAGCUGGCUGCAACUGUUUAUUAAAAACACAGCACUGUGCAAACACGAAAGUGGACGUAUACGGUGUGACGCCUGCCCGGUGCCGGAAGGUUAAUUGAUGGGGUCAGCGCAAGCGAAGCUCUUGAUCGAAGCCCCGGUAAACGGCGGCCGUAACUAUAACGGUCCUAAGGUAGCGAAAUUCCUUGUCGGGUAAGUUCCGACCUGCACGAAUGGCGUAAUGAUGGCCAGGCUGUCUCCACCCGAGACUCAGUGAAAUUGAACUCGCUGUGAAGAUGCAGUGUACCCGCGGCAAGACGGAAAGACCCCGUGAACCUUUACUAUAGCUUGACACUGAACAUUGAGCCUUGAUGUGUAGGAUAGGUGGGAGGCUUUGAAGUGUGGACGCCAGUCUGCAUGGAGCCGGCCUUGAAAUACCACCCUUUAAUGUUUGAUGUUCUAACGUGGACCCGUGAUCCGGGUUGCGGACAGUGUCUGGUGGGUAGUUUGACUGGGGCGGUCUCCUCCUAAAGAGUAACGGAGGAGCACGAAGGUUGGCUAAUCCUGGUCGGACAUCAGGAGGUUAGUGCAAUGGCAUAAGCCAGCUUGACUGCGAGCGUGACGGCGCGAGCAGGUGCGAAAGCAGGUCAUAGUGAUCCGGUGGUUCUGAAUGGAAGGGCCAUCGCUCAACGGAUAAAAGGUACUCCGGGGAUAACAGGCUGAUACCGCCCAAGAGUUCAUAUCGACGGCGGUGUUUGGCACCUCGAUGUCGGCUCAUCACAUCCUGGGGCUGAAGUAGGUCCCAAGGGUAUGGCUGUUCGCCAUUUAAAGUGGUACGCGAGCUGGGUUUAGAACGUCGUGAGACAGUUCGGUCCCUAUCUGCCGUGGGCGCUGGAGAACUGAGGGGGGCUGCUCCUAGUACGAGAGGACCGGAGUGGACGCAUCACUGGUGUUCGGGUUGUCAUGCCAAUGGCACUGCCCGGUAGCUAAAUGCGGAAGAGAUAAGUGCUGAAAGCAUC
rnacentral:rRNA from 1 species